GCCCCCAUAGUCUAUGGGUUAAGAUGCUGGAUUUUCACUCCGGCGUAUCGAGUUCGAGUCUCGGUGGGGGUAC
rnacentral:tRNA from 1 species